rfam:Candidatus Magnetomorum sp. HK-1 HK1c0030, whole genome shotgun sequence.
AAAGUCCCACCUACUCACAGUAAACCAUCUGCAGGGCAGUAGUGAACUCCACAUGCAUUUCCAGCAAUGGGGUGUGUGAAGCUGGAGGAAUCAAGGAUUCAGGCCGCGCUAUUGAGCCUCGAAAAAUUUGCUUCAUUGUGGUCUAUUAAGAUAAUCUAUCGUUAGUACAAUUUUAUUGUAUUGACGUUAGAAAAAGCCGACACUAUGCGCAUAGUGGAAGGCUAAAGUCUAUAAAUCGUUUUGGUUAGAUUUGUAGGCACCACCGUGGUCGGAGAACG